rnacentral:lncRNA from 1 species
AAUAGCCAAAAGUAAAAGAUUCUAUUCUAAGCAACCAUACAAGUAAUAUGAUCAACUUUUAAUCACAUACAAGCAUUCAACCACAACUCACAUUUACAUUCUUUUCAUUCAUCUCUUAUACAUCACAUUUCAUCCAAAACAUAAGCUCUUUUUACAUUCAUGCAUCAUUUGUACUACUAGCAUCAUCAAAUACAAAAGAUGAUAAACGGGUAUGAAGCUAUACUCCAGUAGUCACUAGUUAGGGUGCAAUACCCUUGCCACGGUCCUCGACCGCCUCGCUCGGACCUGGAUCUGUGAAAAAUAGUGGGGUGAGA